CAAACGGUUCUUUUCAGAGCCAUCGAAAAAGAUUUCUCAAGAGUUA
rfam:Aedes albopictus isolate Foshan contig134854, whole genome shotgun sequence.